ensembl:snoRNA
AUCCUUCUGUAAUUCACCAGCAUGAUGAUUGAAUUUUCACGGACACAUGUGAGAUGUGCCGCCUCCAAAUUUUUUUUACAACAGCACGUUACCCAUGUCACA